CACGUAGGGGACGAGCGUUGUCCGGAUUCAUUGGGCGUAAAGCGCGCGUAGGCGGCUCGGAAAGUCGGUCGUGAAAUGCCGGGGCUCAACCCCGGGACUGCGUCCGAUACUCCCGAGCUGGAGGCAGGUAGGGGAGAUCGGAAUUCCUGGUGUAGCGGUGAAAUGCGCAGAUAUCAGGAGGAACACCGGUGGCGAAGGCGGAUCUCUGGGCCUUGCCUGACGCUGAGGCGCGAAAGCGUGGGGAGCGAACAGGA
rnacentral:rRNA from 1 species